CACGAAGUUAGCCGGGGCUUUUUCUCCAGGUACCGUCAUUAUCGUCCCUGGUAAAAGAAUUUUACAAUCCUAAGACCUUCAUCAUUCACGCGGCAUGGCUGCGUCAGGCUUUCGCCCAUUGCGCAAGAUUCCCCACUGCUGCCUCCCGUAGGAGUCUGGGCCGUGUCUCAGUCCCAGUGUGGCUGAUCAUCCUCUCAGACCAGCUAUAGAUCGUAGCCUUGGUGAGCCUUUACCUCACCAACUAGCUAAUCUAACGCGGGCCGCUCUAAUGGCGAUAAAUCUUUCCCCCAAAGGGCUUAUCCGGUAUUAGCUCAAGUUUCCCUGAGUUGUUCCGAACCAAAAGGUACGUUCCCACGUGUUACUCACCCGUCCGCCACUAAGUCCGAAGACUUCGUUCGACUUGCAUGUGUUAGGCCUGCCGCCAGCGUUCGCUCUGAGCCAGGAUCAAACUCU
rnacentral:rRNA from 1 species